rnacentral:rRNA from 1 species
GACGAACGCUGGCGGCGUGCCUAAUACAUGCAAGUAGAACGCACAGUUUAUACCGUAGCUUGCUACACCAUAGACUGUGAGUUGCGAACGGGUGAGUAACGCGUAGGUAACCUGCCUGGUAGCGGGGGAUAACUAUUGGAAACGAUAGCUAAUACCGCAUAAUAUUGAUUAUUGCAUGAUAAUUGAUUGAAAGAUGCUAUUGCAUCACUACCGGAUGGACCUGCGUUGUAUUAGCUAGUAGGUGAGGUAACGGCUCACCUAGGCGACGAUACAUAGCCGACCUGAGAGGGUGAUCGGCCACACUGGGACUGAGACACGGCCCAGACUCCUACGGGAGGCAGCAGUAGGGAAUCUUCGGCAAUGGACGAAAGUCUGACCGAGCAACGCCGCGUGAGUGAAGAAGGGUUUCGGAUCGUAAAGCUCUGUUGUAAGAGAAGAACGGGUGUGAGAGUGGAAAGUUCACACUGUGACGGUAUCUUACCAGAAAGAGACGGCUAACUACGUG